CACACACACCCUCCUCGUCCAUCAUCGCCACUGGGUGAGAGAGAGAAAAAAAGAAAGGGAGAGAAAAAACUAUUCCAGACUCUGGGAGCUAAACGGUGCACUUUCUUUUUUUGGUGCUGUAGUAGUAGACGUUAUGGGAAAGUUCUCUCUUCCAUAUGCGGCUCUCCCCUCCCGCCCUCGUCUUCUCCUCGCCGGUCGUGUGCUCGGAGUAUGCUCAGCGGCUCCUUUUGCACAGGGCCAGUGAAGCUCGCGUAACUUUAGGGCCACUCACAUGUUGGCGGCAACUUUAAAGUGAUGGCCGUAAAACGCUGGAUAUUUCGAAGGGGAACGUCGCUCUCCUGCCGCACGGGACGAUUUCUGAUCGAUGGGACCGAACGCGGAGUCUUGUGUCACACGGCGUCAGGAAUGUUGGAGAUAUACAGCUGUGAAGAAUUGCUGCGCUGAUGGAGUGGAAGCCAGGCUAGACAUUUCUGGGAUUUUGCUUUCCAAUGGACGUCUUUACAAGACGGGUGCAGGCGGGAUGCAGGGCCUGAGCCAGGAGUGAUGGCGCCAUAAUGACCAGAGACUCCAGAUGGAAUACACCAAGGAGACCGGGCUCGUCUCAGAGGAAACCAUCUUCCCCGCUGAAUCUAAACUCGGAUUCCAUCAAGGCUGAAGAUUUCAGCUGUCAUCUCCUCCAAGAGAUCACCCCUGCUAUUGUCCGCUGGAUAUAUGCACCACACUUUAUGUGUCUGAAGCAGGCCGAUGCCUUUCAUUAUUAUCUGCAAAUGCAUUAGAUAGCAGAAUAAAUGACUGGGACUCCAAGUUGAUGUAAUGUGUUAAAUGUGUAUGUGUUUCAUGGUCCUGUAAAAUUUCAACCGCCUUCAAGACAUAUUUUCUAUUUCAUACUGUGCGUUGACAACCUCAUGCUUUGAGUUUUUCAGAGUGCUGUUAACAAAAAAAUAAAGUAUAUUUUCCACGUA